rnacentral:rRNA from 1 species
GCUUACCUACGGGGCGCAGCAGUGGGGAAUAUUGGGCAAUGGAGGCAACUCUGACCCAGCAACGCCGCGUGAAUGAUGAAGGUCUUCGGAUUGUAAAGUUCUGUGAUGGGGGAUGAACACAAUGACGGUACCCCAAUAGCAAGCCACGGCUAACUACGUGCCAGCAGCCGCGGUAAUACGUAGGUGGCAAGCGUUAUCCGGAUUUACUGGGUGUAAAGGGUGCGUAGGUGGCAGGGCAAGUCAGAUGUGAAAGCCCGGGGCUCAACCCCGGUACUGCAUUUGAAACUGUCCAGCUGGAGUGCAGG